CUCCUCCCAACUUCCCCCAUUUUUUCCAGUGCUAGGGAUUUACCCCAAUGCCUUGAGAAUGCAAGGCAAAUUGUCACCACUGAAGUACACCUUCCACCCCAUGACUCUUCUUGAAGUUUCUGAAACUCCACUUGAUGGACACAAGGGAACUUAUUUCAAAGUACAAUGCAGACAGGAACCCCUAACCUUUGUUGUGCCACCUGCCUGUCUUCACCUGAGACCCAAGUGAACACUUAGAGACUGGGAUCUGCUAGCAGCUCAGCUACUCUGCUCCAUCUAGUGGGAUCCCUGAGAAUGGACACAAUCCACCUGUCUUGAGUCAUCACCAAAAGAAGGUACAAGAGGCAGCCUGGCCUAGGACCAGCAGCAUUGAAGCUCAGCUUCCAUCAUGGAUGAGGGUGGCAGCUGAGGACACAGAGAUGAUUUAACUGGAAAUGCCACUGUUUGACGUGACACUUUGAACAGGCUGGGACAGAUGUAAACACGGCCUGCUGCAGAGCUACAUAAAAGGCCACAUGAGGCUGGUCUCUCUGGCUUGGCGCUCUCAGUACCACAAGCAAAGUCAGCGAUGCUGGAUGCUGGGCUAUUUUUAGUGUUCAAAGAGCCUUACAAAAGAUUUAUGACUACAAUAUGUAGUGUGGGAGAUAAAUUGAAGCAGGGCUCUCCCAGUUUCAACAAAGGAGUCAGCCUGGUCAAUAAAGUAUUUAAGUCCUGAGUGCUGUGUGGGCUGUCAUAGAUUAAAAUUUGAAAAUCUUUUAUGGUGUAACAAGGUCCUUAAUUAUAACUUGGGCUUUGGGUCAUUUGCACGUUGCACAAACAGCAAGAGUUAUGCCUUAGCGAUCAUUCUUGGAUAAAAUAGCCUUUAAAUCCAAUGUCCAUGAGAGAAAACACUCAAUUGUCAAGUUCAGAAUGACUUUUCUCAAAAGGAAGGAGUCUGAGAAAUGUCUGCUAUAAAAUCUUCUCCUGUCUCAAUUAUACCAGGCGUUAUUUCUCUCUUGUAUGGAAUUCACAGAAGCUAAUGAGCUGCCUGAAGCCUUAGGUGACUCUGCUUUUGACUUUGUCACUCAAUACCGUUACACUAGUCUCACUCUGCAAUUCAAGCACGUGGUUAUGUCCCCUGCUGUGGAUAGUAAUUACUGGCUAACUUUGUAAGUUGAUAUGCAUCAGAUCAUAAACUUCCCUUGGCACAAAGAGUCUUGAGUCUGUAAUAAUCAUUACUUGAUUAAUAAAAUUUUAAACUACUAACAAUAAGUCACAUUCAAGGAUUAUUUUUAUUUUUCAAGAAUGAUUUAAAUUAUCUGUGGUAAAAAUUUUCAGCAUCUAUGAUAGUUCGAUUAAGAAUGGCCCCCAUAGGCUCCUACAUUUGAAUGCUUGGUGCCCUGUUUGUGGAAGUGUUUGGGAAGGAUUAUGAAGUGUGGCCCCAUUGGAGUAGUGUUACAAGGGGUGGGUAGUGCCUCUUGCCUGCAGAGCAGGAUAUAAAUAUCUCAGCUACUGCUGUAGCACAAUACCUGCCCGCUUUCCAGCAUGGUGAUCCUGGAUUAACCCUAUGAAACUGUAUGCAAGCCCUCCAUUUAAUCCUUUCCUUUCUAAAGGUGCCUUGAUCAUAGUGUCUCCUCAGAUAUAAUACAGUGACUAAGGCAGGCUGUGUGCUUGGGACUGACUUCUAGAUAGAAUUGCCAUAUAUCUCAGAGUUACAAGCUUAUUCUUUGAAUCCUUUGCUUAUAAAACUGACUGCAUACAUAUAGGUGUAUAUCACAUGCAUUUAUAUACAUAUAUAUCUGAAGUCACAUAUAA
ensembl:lincRNA